UUUGUGAAACGUCGACCAAAAAUUUUAUUUAUUCAAAUAAUAUUUUUUUCCAAUUUCUCUUUGCAUAAUAAAAAUUAUAUAAUCGCCGAAGUGAUCAACAUGAGAAGUAUCUAAUCGUCCUUAGAAAUUGUCAAUUUUUCCUUAAAAUUCAUUGACAGUGACAUGUUACUUUACAUUAUACGUCGAAUUUUAAAAAAUGAGAAAAAAAAGUACAGAUCUAUAUAUCUCAUGCAUGGAGAACACACAUUGAAUUAUGCGUAAUCGGUCAGUGAUAUUGCAUUAUCUAAAAUUAUCGACCUCUUCCAAAACUCUUCUAGUGCUUCUAAGGAAUACUAUAUAUCAUCGUACUGGAAUCAAUAGUAAGGCAUUUCCUUUUGAAACAUGGACCUUGUCUCUAACUUAUCCGUAAUAUUUUGUUCUAUACCUUAUUCGUCAGGUGUCUGAAAUUAAACAAACAAAAAAUAGGAAGAAAAAAUUUAUAUUGGCUUUGAUAACGAAUCUUCUCGAAAUCGAUGUAGUACUGUUUUACUAUGCUGCUAUCGAAUGGUGGUACGGGGCUAGGGAAUUAUCCCUUCAAAGGAUCGAUAAGGAAGCGGCUUCAGUAAGAGGAUAUAAUCGAUUGCGUUGGGAAAGGUUUUUCGAAGGAACGUCCAACGGUUCAUACGGAUCAUGGGUCAAAGUUGAAUUUUUGCUCUAAUGCGGGAACGUUCCUUCGUAGAAAAAUUAGGGACGAUAAGGAAAACCUUAGGGCGAUUAAUAGUGAUUCCGAAAAAGAUGUUAUGCGAAUCAAUAUUGAAGAAGAAGAAGAGGAUGAAGAUGAAGAAGAAGGAGAUACAGGGGAUGAAGUAGUAGAGGAGAUAUACUAAACUAACCGAAGACGACAGCAGUUCCAAUAGCGUGGAUGUAUUGCAAAGGAGCCGAAUUGACUUAUAUUUGAAUUGUAAUUCCAAAGAAAAACAACGCUCCACCAGAUAAUAAAACAUUGCACAUCCAAAGUGAAACACAUUUCCGUUGACACUUUCUGUUUCUCCGUACAUCUGACGAUACAUCCUACAUGGAUAGUACAAAUGCCAGAACAUCAACGAGAUUAAUAUAUGGAAACAUUUUCCUUUUUACAUUUAUGUUUAAAUGGAAAAUCAAUCAAUGCUGUGUUUAUUUAAUUGUAAGAUAUUUUAGAGAUCAUAUGCAGCCGAAGAAAGUAUUAUUAUUUAUAAGUGAAUUUAUCUCAAAUAUUCUAAAUGGUAUGAAUCCCAAAUUGGAGUAAUUAUCCGGUAACUUCUAUAAUAUGGAAAUGGUAUUUUCUAAUAAAUCUUAUACAAAUAUAGUGCUAAAUUUAAAGAAUAUUAAUGGAAUAAUAGAAUGAUUAGUGAUAAAGAUGUUUCAAUCGUUUCUAUUAUUUGUAAAGCUGUUGUUUGGCACGUAUGAUAGCUAGGGAUUAUUUAUCGUAUGAGACACACUUGCGUAUUACUGGGUCGAAAAUCACGGAAGGAAUGACUUACCCUAGUUUAAUUAGCCACAUGUUAGCUGGAUAGAAGACCAAGCUUCGUAAAAUCUAAUUCCCUAACUAGAACGCAUGGGGAUAAAUAAUUUCCCCUCUCCUAUAGUUAUGUAAUUAUAUGUAUAUAUAUUCUAUGUUCACGCGAAAUUAUCUGUGUAAUAUAUCUUGGAAUUUCCUAAUGAGAAUCUUACAAUAAUUCGUCUAUUUUUUAAUUGAAAUAAUCGUAUAAAACUGUAAUUAUUUAUGAUAUAAUUAACUAUUAUAAUAAUAAUUAUUGUAAUUAUCAAGACUAAUUAAUCGGAUAUUCAUAUAGGAAAUUCGCACUCUUACUUCUUUCGUAAGUCUACCUUAUACUUACUAGUUAUAUUUAAUAGAUUAAAUGUUUAUUUAUUGGAAAAGAGAUUGGAUUACAAUCUCGCUAAGUAGAUACAUGUCGAAGAACUUUAAACGGAAAUGAAAGUAGCUAAUUUUCUUACCGUAAAUAAUUUCUUCGAAGAAAAUGUAUAUUGGAGUAAAUUUUUUUCGAAUUUAAGUUUACCGUAAUAUAUCGAAAUAAAGAACGAACAUUUUCUUAUAAAUACAAAUAUAUGACUACAGCAACUAUUCCUAAACCCAACAAAAUAAUAAUUAAAAUGCUAUGAAUCAAGAGAAUCAAUUUCAUUUCUAUGAUAUAGAAAUGAAAUUUUCUACUAAAUCUAAUCGUUUUUAAGCCGUUUGUAUUAUUUGUAAAGCUGUUCUUUGGUACGUAUGACAACUAGGGAUUAUUUCGGGUAUGAGACACACUUGCGUAUUACUGGGUCGAAAAUCACGGAAGGAAUGACUUAUCCUAGUUAAAUUGGUCACGUCAUAACGAUAGAAGACCAAGCUUCCUAGAUUCUAAUUCUCUAACUAGAACGCAUGGGGAUAAAUAUUUCCCCUCUCCUAUAGUUACGUAAUUAUAUUUGUAUCUUUAUGUAAAUAUUAUACUCUAUGUCUCGUUA